UACGGAGGAGGCAAGCGUUAUCCGGAAUUAUUGGGCGUAAAGCGUCCGCAGGUGGCACUUCAAGUCUGCUGUCAAAGACCGGGGCUUAACCCCAGAAAGGCAGUGGAAACUGAAGUGCUAGAGUGCAGUAGGGGUAGAGGGAAUUCCCGGUGUAGCGGUGAAAUGCGUAGAGAUCGGGAAGAACAUCGGUGGCGAAAGCGCUCUGCUGGACUGCAACUGACACUCAGGGACGAAAGCUAGGGGAGCAAACGGG
rnacentral:rRNA from 1 species